rnacentral:rRNA from 1 species
AGGAUUAACGCUGGCGGCGUGCCUAACACAUGCAAGUCGAACGAGGUAGCAAUACCUAGUGGCAGACGGGUGAGUAACGCGUGGUCAACCUACCGUUGAGUGGGGGAUAACUAGCCGAAAGGUUAGCUAAUACCGCAUACGAGGCUCGGGGGCAUCCCUGGGUCUUAAAAGGAGCAAUCCGCUCGAUGACGGGACCGCGUCCCAUUAGCUAGAUGGUGGGGUAAUGGCCUACCAUGGCUCCGAUGGGUAGCUGGUUUGAGAGAGCGACCAGCCACACUGGGACUGAGAAACGGCCCAGACUCCUACGGGAGGCAGCAGUGAGGAAUUUUCCGCAAUGGGCGAAAGCCUGACGGAGCGACGCCGCGUGUGGGAAGAAGGCCGUUCGGGUCGUAAACCACUGUCGAAGGGGACGAUAAUGACGGUACCCUUGGAGGAGCCCGGCUAACUACGCGCCAGCAGCCGC